CAGGUUUGAUCAUGGCUCAGGACGAACGCUGGCGGCAUGCCUAACACAUGCAAGUCGAACGGAGAUUACUUCGGUAAUCUUAGUGGCGAACGGGUGAGUAACGCGUGGGCAACCUGCCCUCUAGAUGGGGACAACAUCCCGAAAGGGGUGCUAAUACCGAAUGUGACAGCAAUCUCGCAUGAGGAUGCUGUGAAAGAUGGCCUCUAUUUAUAAGCUAUCGCUAGAGGAUGGG
rnacentral:rRNA from 1 species